rnacentral:rRNA from 1 species
CUCGGAGUUUGAUCCUGGCUCAGAUUGAACGCUGGCGGAAUGCUUUACACAUGCAAGUCGAACGGUAGAGGGGGCAACCCCUCGAGAGUGGCGAACGGGUGAGUAAUAUAUCGGAACGUGCCCAGUCGUGGGGGUAUAACGUAGCGAAAGUUACGCUAAUACCGCAUACGAUCUAUGGAUGAAAGCGGGGGUACUCGCAAGAGCCUCGCGCGAUUGGAGCGGCCGAUAUCAGAUUAGGUAGUUGGUAGGGUAAACGGCCUACCAAGCCAACGAUCUGUAGCUGGUCUGAGAGGACGACCAGCCAC